GCCUGGGUGGCUCAGUCAGUUAAGCGUCUGUCUUCAGCUCAGGUCAUGAUCCCAGGGUCGUGGGAUCGAGCCCCACAUCGGGCU
rnacentral:tRNA from 1 species